CAGCUUUCUUGUAGCUGAAUAGCUGUGCCUCUGAAGAAAGUCUCUUAACAAGAGGGGAUGUAUGAACUUAUCUCCUAUGAUCAGACUGGAGACUACUCCAAUUGUCAUCAGAGAGCCUUCAUCCAGUAACUGAGGGAAACAGAUGCAGAGACCCACGGCCAAACCUUAGGCUGAGCUCAGGACAGUAACUGGGGCAAAGGAACACACCUUCAGUGUGUACAUAAAUACUACCAGAUGACUGAAUGGAAAAACAAAACCAGAAUGGAUUAGGUACACCUACAAGCUUCUUCUUAAUGAACAAGAGCAUCUAUUGCUGCUGAUGGUGGUGAUGAUGGAGAUGAUGAUGAUGGGUGACCACGAUGAACUCUAGUUUCUUCCAUCUUACAACUUGAUCCAGUACCACUGUCUCUAGGUGCUUUGGCGGAGCAUAGCAUUCUUAGUUGACAUGACUACAAAGCUAUAGUAUGAGAGAAUCCCUGUGUCGAAGCAUGUUUGUCAGCCUGUGCCUCGGUUGGAAGCGGUGGAACCUAUAAAAAGAUGGUGAAAAUCCCUGCAGACACGAUGUCACAAAGGGCAAAGCUUCAAUCCAAAGUGACACCAUCUGUGCGGCAUGAACUCAGGAACAAGUUAAUAACGUUGUAGAUUCUGGGCCUGCAUUUAAUCUGCUUCAUCUGCUAAACAUUUGUGCUUGACAACAGUAUACACAGCAGAGUAUCAGCUGCUGAUCACAUGUCUUGCACAGAGCUGUGUCUCAUUGCUACAGCCCUUGGUCAUAAGAUACCCUAUCUUUAUCGCCAGCCUAGCAUAUCUAAAUUCUGCUUUCAUAUCCUGCCUUCUUGUGCCAGGUUUAGCAAAUAACUGAGAUAAUUUAAAUAUCAGGGCUUGUAACACCCAGAAAACAUGUUAAGACCCUCAAUACAAGACAAAUUACGACUAUCAUAGGAGGGAGUGUCAUCUCUGAGACUAGUCAACCAAGGACUGUCCUACUUGUCCUAAGAAUGGCUACCUUGAAUACCAACCUAGAGCCUUCAUCCAGUAGCUGAUGGAAGCAGAAGCAGAGAUCCACAGCUAAGUACUGAGCUGAAUUCCUGGAAUCCAGCUGUAGAGAGGGAGACGUGAUGAGCAAAGGGGUCAAGAACAGGCAGGAGAAACCCAGAGAAUACAGCUGACUUGACCAAGUGGGAUCACAUGGACUCCAGUUGUAAAACUGGGGAACUAGCAUUGGACUGAACCAGGCCUUCUGAAUGUGGGUGUCGGUUAGGAGGCCUGGGCUGUCUACGGAACCUCUAACAGUGGAACCAGUAUUUAUCCCUAGUGCACAAAUGGACUUUGGGAGCCCAAUCCCCAUGGAAGGGGUUACUUUCUCAGCCUAGGUCCUCCCCCAAAUGAUAUGACAGACUUUUAAUGAUCCCCCUUGAAUGCCU
rnacentral:lncRNA from 1 species